rnacentral:lncRNA from 1 species
GUACCUGUGGCAUAUGGAAGUUCCCAGGCUAGGGGUCGAAUGGGGGCUGUAGCGGCCAGUCUAUGGCACAGCCACAGCAAUGUGGGAUCCAAGCCAUGUCUGCAACCUACACCACAGCUCACGGCAACACCAGAUCCCUAACCCACGGAUCGAGGCCAGGGAUCGAACCCACAUCCUCAUGGAGACUAGUCAUUGGGUUCUUAACCUGCUGAGCCACAAUGGGAAUGUUUUUUUGAGGGAUGUUAUUUCAACCCACUGUGGAGGUUUUCAUAUAUGAGGGUUCAAAAAUAUGAAGACAACCAUGUUUGUGUAAAAAAGAAGAGUUUGCAGGCAUGACUCCUGGCUUCCCUCGAUCUUAUGCUCUCCCUCCAGCCAGGCCCUGAAGACAGCUCCCAAAUGCCCCUGGAGUAACCGUCUCAAUGGAAAAUUUGACCAGAGUUUUUUACACAGACCCUCCUAAGCAGACCAUAGACUGAAAAAACAGUGAGUACAUUGGGAGAAAAAAAAAUAAGUUGUCUGGUAGAAGAAUAGGAUUUCUAAGCCAUGUUUUCUUUCUUUUUCUUUUUUGGGCCACAUCUGCAGCAUAUGGAAGUUCCCAGGCUAGAGGUUGAAUCGGAGCUACAGCUGCCGGCUUAUGCCACUGCCACAGCCACACCAGAUCCCAGAUCCGAGCCACAUCUGCGACCUCCACCACAGCUCACGGCAACACUGGAUCCUUCACCCACUGAGCAAGGCCAGGGAUCCAACCCACAUCCUCACGGACACUCCAGGUUUUCAACCUUCAGAACAGUGGAUUUGUUUGUUUGUUGUUGUUGUUUCCAAUCAACUGGGCACCUGAUCUGUUCUCUCUCACCUCAUGCUUCUUAUUUAAAUGGAAACCAUGUCCUUCUCCUGGUAAAUGAGGUGACAUUUGAGCAGAUUCUGGUUCAGAGACCUAGACUCCCUGCUGUGUGAAGGCCCCUGCCCAUGAUUUCCUGAGGGGGGCCCCUGGAGACUGUAGGCUUCUUUGUCAGUGUGGACUUCCAGGGCCUUGGUCUGAAUUCUGGUCCCAUGAAUAGGGUGAUGGAUGCUUGGUGGGUCACAGACCAGCUCCACUCUUGACUUGAGGCCAGGCAGCGUGGGGCAGGGGUUCGCAAACUUGGUUGAUGAUCAGAAUCACCUGGAAGCUUUGACAUUUUAUUUAAAGAUGCAGCCUCCCAGCUCUCUCCCCAUCCUACCCAAUCAGAGUCAAUCAGAGUCAAUCAGAGUCUCCUGGGGGACUGAAGCAUGGGCUUUUCAGAUAGACCUGGAUCCACACCUUGGCUCUACUCCACCUCCCCGUGUGAGCUUGGAGGGGCCAGCCCACCUCGGACCUGGGCAGCCAGGGCAGUGGCACCUCCCCAGGUUGCUUGUGGGGGUCGGAGGUGAUGCUUGUCAAAGUGCUACGUUCAGUGGAAACCAUGUGAUUCAAAUACUGGUUAAUAAAUGGUAGCCGUUUACUCUGAGUUGUCUGAAAUGCCAUGUUUUUAUGUGGGGGAGGGAGGAUUUAUUCUAUGGAUUAAAAAAGAAAAGAAAGGCACAGGGUAAUCCAGCUGACUCUUAUUCCUAUCUGAUGGGAUGUAACUGCCCAACAUUUUCUGACUUUUCAUGAAGAAGCCUAUGUUUUGAGACAACAGCAGGAAUGAAUGAACCCAUACUUUCUGUGCCAGCAUCUGCCCAGUUUAGAACAAAAGGUGGUAAUGGCCAGGCUCCACCUUGCUGGAAAGGCUGGGAUGCGUCUUUGCAAAGAUGGUCCUUUCGGCAAAUCGUUAGAAAACCACGUGCUAAUGAGGAGGUGUUCCCCCCCAGCGCCACCCCACGGAGAACUUGACAGCCUUAGGAGGAAUGUGGCCUUUGGACUUGAUGGGAAGGGGCAAGAAUCGCACCCACUUUUCAGUGGUGGUCCUGGGUCUUCCUUUGGCAGGUGGCAGGUGAAAUGAAAUAAUCCAUGCAGAGCACUCAGCCCCGAACCUGGCACCCCCGGGACUCUCAAAGAAUGUCGGCUGCUGUCAUCGGGCCACCAUGGUCCAUCAUCUUCCCAGCCGCUCCAGUUUGAUUCCCUAGCUCUGAUUUGGGAAGCCAGGAGGCCCUGCCCUGCCUUGAGACCUUCUGGAACAUCCUAGGAUGUUCUGAGAGGGCCCACAAGUAAAACAGGCUGAGGACAAAGCAGAAACAGCCUCUGCUUUGGAGGGAGGUUUUCCCAAGCUGGUUUUUCUUUUUAUCUGAUGGGAAGGGCUGAGUUAAGAGGCAGCAGCAGGGGGACAGCACAAAUAAAUACAGAAAAACCUCUCCAGGGGCUGCUAUUGUGCUGAGUACAAUGACAGGCCCUGGAGUGUGUUUUUUAUCCAGUUGAGAUUGGAAAGUAAAAUAAAUGUGGUCACAUUACACCCUCGUCUGGAGUCCAGACUUGCUACAGGCCUCCCUCGAGCACCAUAGGAUGAAAGGGACACUUUUUAUCCGAGUCCUGGCUGGUGUUGGGGAGAAGGGAAUUUAGGGUAUGGAGGCGGGGCCUCAAAGUUGGGGCUGGGAUCCCCUGAAGCCCUGGGCACUGGUUCUUCCACCACCCCGGGCUUUCUCAAAGCUGCUAACACCAAGUCCCCACCCUUCCCAGGGCUUUCCUGCCAACAAUGGGCCAGUCCAGCAGGGCAGGGCUGGUGACACACCCAGGCGAAGCUGUUUGACUCUGCAAGGAGGAGGAGCCCCUUUCUAGCAACAGGAGGCCUCCGGGGUAGGUGGUGGGGUGGGGCGGGGGUGGGGGUGUUGUUAGUUAGAACUGGUGGCUUUCUCAAGCUGAGGGAAUGUCCCCAAAUACUGUAAAGCUCCUGCUGCCUUUGGUUGCUUUGAAAUGAGUCAUACAAUUGGAAAGCUCUUUCUGGAACCAAAGCCAUCUUUCAUGGGAAUGAGUCUCAACUCUUCUGCGGCUGGUGUUUCCAACUUUCCCCGAGGAGGCUAGGGAAAUCCUCCCCACCCAGAAAACAUCAGGGCUCUGUGAAAUAAGCCAGGGAAUAUGCUUAGCUCAGAACGGGGCAUCUAGUAAGUCCUGAUCAUAUAGCAGCAGCUUUAUUAAUAAAAGCUCAUGUUUGAGGGCUCAUUUUGUGUCGUGUCAGGUUCUACAUGAUUCUCACAAUAACUCUUGGAGGUAGGUAUUAUUAUCAUCAUCAUCAUCAUCAUUCCUAUUUUACAGAUGUGGAAACUGAGGCUUAAAGAAGUUAGACAAAUCAUCACUAUUACACAGCUGAUGACUGGUGGAGCUGGAACUCAAGCCCAGGGAGUUUGAUGCUACAGCCCGCACUCAAUGGCCAUGUCAUACUGUUAUUAUUACCAUUAAUUAGUUACUCUUAAUUAGCAUGUCUUCAGGAGAUCUCAGUCUUAGACAGCUAUUGGACAAAGAGAGUGCCAUUAUUGAAGCAUAUAAGAGACGUUGUGGGGAGUUCCCAUCGUGGCUCAGCUGUCAAUGAACCCGACUAGGAACCAUGAGGUUUGCGGAUUCAAUCCCUGGCCUCACUCAGGGGGUUAAGGAUCUGGCAUUGCUGUGGCUGUGGCGUAGGCCGGUGGCUACAGCUCCAAUGUGACCCCCUAGCCUGAGAACCUCCAUAUGCCACGGGUGUGGCCCUAAAAAGCAAAAAAAAAAAAAAAAGAAAAAGACUAGAAGGAGGGAAAAAGCACAGAACGAAAACUGAAAUGCUUACAUGAUUCAACUAUUGAAAAUAGUGGCAGACCUUGUCCAAGCACCAGAAAGCCUCAUUACCCACUAUCACCUGUAAAUAUAGCACUUUUCUUGGUCUGAGUACUCUACGUGGCUUCACAACUCCCUAUGACAGCCAGAGCAGGUAGUCAUUCCUAAUUUACUGAUGGGGAAACAGCUUCAGGGAGUGUUUGGGAUUCUUCAAGUCUAAGUGGCUAAUUACCCUUAAUAAAGAUUGCUCGUGUUUCCUGAGCAAUGACUCUACGCGGGGUCCCAUGCUGUGCGCCACAUGUAUUAUAAUUUAGCAACAAUCUUCUGAUGGGUCUUAUUAUUUUGUCUAUUUCAAAGAUGAGCACAAUGAGACGGAAAAGAGGGUGAAUAACUGGCCCUAAGACAUGCAGCUGCGGGCGCCCGCUAACUGCUAUUCGUAACCACAUCUUGGUGAUACUGAUGGGGCUCAUGGCCAAACGGAGGGGUCUGGCCAGUCUCCCAUUUAGAACUCUGCUGUACAGGGCACCCCAGGAGACUUAAAUCCAGAGGGAUGCAGUCCUCGCCUUCACAGAAUCACGGGCAGUGGGACACAGGGGGAUAGCAGGGGAUUUGAAGUGGGACAGACCUGGGUAAUCCCAGGCUCGAUGCUCCCUGAACACUCAGGCAUCUUUAAUUAGCCUCUGAGAGCUUUGGUUUCCUGCUUGUAGGGCUGGGCUGAGGGGUCUAGUUAAGGUUGACAUAAAGCACGCAAGAGCAAGAUCUCACUACAGCUCAGCCAAGGAGCAGAGAGACAGGCAAAACCAGCAGUAUUAGGCAACACUUAAAAAGUGUCAAAUGUGAUGUUCCCCCGUAGGCAUGCGAAGAAUUUACUGGGGCAGGCUGGGCUGGGCCCAUCCAGGCGGGAUCUGAGAGAGGGCAGGAACUCAGGCUCCUCUUUGAUUGGGGGCAAAUGGAGCCCAUGGGAAAUUCACGCGGAAACUCGAAAGAGCUGAGGGCCCCUGAUUUGAGGCAGCACCCUUACCUCGACUCCUCAGGGCCAGGUCCUCUCCUCUCUCCACCUCCUGGAAGAGCUGGGCAGUGUCCAGGAGGGAUGCUGCGGGGGAAGCUGCAGAGGCGGGGGAGGGCACGGUGGGUUCGGGGGACUCAGGGUGCUUUGCAGGAGCUG